rnacentral:rRNA from 4 species
UGACCUCGGAUCAGACGUGAUUACCCGCUGAACUUAAGCAUAUCACUAAGCGGAGGAAA